rnacentral:rRNA from 1 species
UACGGAGGGUGCAAGCGUUAUCCGGAUUCACUGGGUUUAAAGGGUGCGUAGGUGGGUCUGUAAGUCCAUGGUGAAAUCUCCAAGCUUAACUUGGAAACUGCCAUGGAUACUAUAGGUCUUGAAUACCGUGGAGGUGAGCGGAAUAUGUCAUGUAGCGGUGAAAUGCUUAGAUAUGACAUAGAACACCAAUUGCGAAGGCAGCUCACUA